AUGGCUGCGCAGCAAGGUAGUAGUAAGCAUCAGCACGACACACAGCGGCAGCGGCAAGAGCAACAACAGGCAACAAGCAGCGGCAGCCGAGCAACGACAGCAGCAGGGCGCGGCCCGGGCGCGGGGCACAACGUAGAGCCACUGAGGGUGCAGCCAGGAGCAGCAACAGCAGUACGCAGGCGCGCGCGGACGCUAAGCUCCAGCGGACGGAGCUCACGGGGCGACCACUACGGGCACGGAUUGAAGGGGAAAGAAGGGGAAUCGGAGGAGGGGCUCACGGCGGAGCUCGUGGACGACGUUGGGAGGUCGGGGGAGCUCGGGAGGCGGCAAAUCUGA
rnacentral:rRNA from 1 species